GGUAACAAUGACUGACCAAGAUAUUGCGCUUGGGCUGUAGGAGCCCCUCCGGAGUCUGUACACACCCCCAGUGAGCGUCGUCGACGAUAAAUAAAUAUGGAUGGCUCGGGCUGCACGCCGCAGUGGGUACUGGAAUGUACCAUCAUAUACAUUGCAUUGCAUUCAUGUAUUUGUAUUUAUACUAGUGUUUAGCUGCUCAGUUCCAUAUGUUGUUGUAUAUUUGGAUUUUAGCUUACUUUGUGUAUUUACUGGAUUUUCUUAUCUUCGGACUGUAGUUACUUUUAUUACUCACUGGGUCGGAGUACUCACUUUACUUCCUGCACCUUGUGUGCAGAUCCAGGGUAGUCUCAGGCUCAGUAGAUCCAGUUGAUCAGCAGAUGCAGCCUCUGGGAGUAUCGAGGUAGCUGCACGGCGUUCGCAGCCAUUGAUCUUCUCCCUCCUAUCCUAUCUCUUUAUUUCCGCAUAUCAGACUUUGGAUAUACCAUGUAUUAGGAUGAUAUUCUGUAUUCUAGAGGCUCAGAUUCGUGACACCGUGUCAUAGUGAGAUUAUAUUGUGUAUUUUGUUAAAAUUUUCAGUACUUUAAUCUUGCUUAAUUGAUAUUUUUUCC
rnacentral:lncRNA from 1 species